rnacentral:lncRNA from 1 species
GCAGAUUCACAGAACAUUGAUACGUCUCGUGGUUUCUCGUCUAGCAGAUUUGACCACGCCUUUUAUUUACAUCUCAUGGCGCUGUGUGAAUGAACACCUUGGAGAGGAGGACCACUGAAAAUCCCCUUUGCAAUGAGAGUGACAAACGCCAUUAAUGGAUGAAUAAACCAAUAAAUGCAGUAUUAAUCAUAUGAAUCCGUGUCACCGCUCCGAUUAUUACGGUGGUAAUGGCAGCUGUGAGUCUGACGGAUCCGCUUUGCAAACCUUGCUCUUACAGCCCACGUUUUAAAGUUGAGGUGUGCUUGAGGAAGCCCUUGAUGCCCAUCCACCUGAGCAGUGAGCAGGUGGCACUGGAGAUGCUGUGUCUCUGCAGCCAGUUGGACUUACUGAUCAGAGCUCAGGUCCAUCAGGGGCAGCUCAAACAGGACACAAGUCCUGAAGAGACUGAGUGUUUUCAAAAACAAGGGGCAGAGAUAAUAUAUCGGAUGAACCAGUGCCUUGAACAUCUCAAUGAACCGGUGCUUCAGUUUGAGGAGUGUUUGGAUGUUGUAGGAUUAUCUACUCUGUUCCCUCGAGUGGAAGUUUAUAUGAUACAUGGCAGCCCUGUUGACAUGUUGGAAAGACCACCUUCAGAUGCUUAUUUUCCUCAUAUUGGGAGGCUGAAUCAGCUGCUGGUUCUCAGUCAGCAGUUAGAUGAAGAUGUGAAGCAUCUGGGCAGUCAUAAGUACAUCGCACAUCAGCUAUCAGCAAUUUAUCAAGUCCUAAACUCUCUCAAAGAUAUUUUGCCAUUAUCCAUCAUAAGAAAGGAUAUUGAGGCUAAUUUCAAGCAGCUGAAGAUGUCUCUUUCGACAGAGGAAGGGUCCAAGCUGGAUCCUCAGUUGCCAGCACAUCACGUGAGCUGGGUGUCAGAAUUAACACAAAACGUGAUAUCGACGGUACUGUCACUCUCAGAAGAGCUCACCGAAGACCUCAAUCCAGUCAUGGAAUUUGUCUCUAACCUCUCGUAACAGCUAGAUCUACAGUGCCUGAAGUGGAUGGUGAGAAAUUGUCACGGAAUGAAGUGAUUCCCUUGAAAAAUGUUUUGUCUUUUUUUGAUUUAUUCAUCUGUAC